rnacentral:tRNA from 1 species
GGGCGAUUAACUCAGUUGGGAGAGUGCCACGUUUACACCGUGGAUGUCGCAGGUUCGAGUCCUGCAUCGCCCA